GGGGAAUAUUGCGCAAUGGGGGCAACCCUGACGCAGCCAUGCCGCGUGAAUGAAGAAGGCCUUCGGGUUGUAAAGUUCUUUCGGUAGCGAGGAAGGCAUUUAGUUUAAUAGACUAGGUGAUUGACGUUAACUACAGAAGAAGCACCGGCUAACUCCGUGCCAGCAGCCGCGGUAAUACGGAGGGUGCGAGCGUUAAUCGGAAUAACUGGGCGUAAAGGGCACGCAGGCGGUGACUUAAGUGAGGUGUGAAAGCCCCGGGCUUAACCUGGGAAUUGCAUUUCAUACUGGGUCGCUAGAGUACUUUAGGGAGGGGUAGAAUUCCACGUGUAGCGGUGAAAUGCGUAGAGAUGUGGAGGAAUACCGAAAGCGAAGGCAGCCCCUUGGGAAUGUACUGACGCUCAUGUGCGAAAGCGUGGGGAGCAAACAGGAUUAGAUACCCUGGUAGUCCACGCUGUAAACGAUGUCGAUUUGGGGGUUGAACUUUAAGUUUGGCGCCCGUAGCUAACGUGAUAAAUCGACCGCCUGGGGAGUACGGCCGCAAGGUUA
rnacentral:rRNA from 1 species